rnacentral:rRNA from 1 species
UGAGGAAUAUUGGGCAAUGCCCGCAAGGGUGACCCAGCAACGCCGCGUGGAGGAUGAAUGCCGUAAGGUUGUAAACUCCUGUUAGAGGGGAAGAAUAAUUCCGAUUGUAUCGGAACUUGACUGUACCCUCAGAGAAAGCCCCGGCUAACUACGUGCCAGCAGCCGCGGUAAUACGGAGGUCCCAAGCGUUGUUCGGAUUCACUGGGCGUAAAGGGUGCGUAGGUGGCUGGGAAAGUUUGAUGUGAAAGCUCCGGGCUCAACCCGGAAAAUGCAUUGAAUACUUCUCGGCUAGAGGAUCGGAGGGGAAAGUGGAAUUCUUGGUGUAGCAGUGAAAUGCAUAGAUAUCAAGAGGAACAUCAGUGGCGAAGGCGACUUUCUGGACGAUUCCUGACACUGAGGCACGAAGGCUAGGGGAGCAAACAGGAUUAGAUACCCUGGUAGUCCUAGCAGUAAACGGUGCGCGCUUGCUGUAGGCGGAUUCGACCCCGUCUGUGGCGUAGCUAACGCGUUAAGCGCGCCGCCUGGGGAGUACGGCCGCAAGGUUA